UAAACAACCUUCCAAUGUUUAAAACAGAGACAAAAGAAUACUCACUCCGUUUCUUAAUAGACAUGUAUUUUUUGCUUUUCAAUGUAAAAUUUAUUAGUUUUUAUGUAAUACGACUUUAUAUAUUUAUUAUUUAGCAAAUUGCUUUUUCUAUUCGUUGAUAUUUGGUUAGGUAGAUAAUUAUCUAGAAAAUGUACAAAUCAAAAUAUUUUAUUAAACGUGUGUCCAACUCCAAAACGUCAUAUAAUAAAAAAAAACUAGUAAAGGUACUCACAGGAUGACCAGUAAACUUCUGUACUUUCUUGAGAUCAGAGCACUUAAAAGUCUUCAACUGAGCAGAUGCAGUGGCUAAUACUUUACCAUCUACAAAUUGGGAGGAAACAAAACAUCAUCAUCAGCAGGCAAAAACCAAUGGAAGCACUACACACCUGGUGAAACAGAUAAAGAAGAAACUGCUUUUGUUGAAGCUUUGAACUUUCUGAUAAGAUUCCCACUUUGUGGAUCAAUUUCACAAACCAUCCCAUCUGCUCCACCGCUGUAUAUGCAGGAGGCCUUUGCAGAAGAUGAAACAGCAUUCACGCCACUGCACAAACAGCAUUCACACAUCAGCAAAAUUACAAAACAUCAUCGGUAAGUAAGCACAUCAGUUACACUCACCCGGGAUGACAGUCACUAAUCCUCCAUUUAAGCUGACCAGAAGCAACAUCAAGUGCUAAAACAUCUCCUCCACCAGUUCCCAAAACCAAUAUAGAAGUUCCAAGUUUUCUCUUCUUCUGAAAAUAACAAGAAUCAAACUUAUUUUCAAUUUAAAAAAUUAAA